rnacentral:lncRNA from 1 species
ACCACAAGCUCACCUUGGAUCCAAGUAGGUGCAUGUCGUACAGACCAUGAGAGGGUUCCGACAUGUCGUACAGACCAUAGAGUGGUUCCGACUGUAGGUGAUUUUAGAUUAUUAUACAGCUGUUGAUGAGAGAAGCACUAGAGCGUAUUCUUACACCUUUCUUAUCGUACAGACUACUUUAGGUAGUUUUGAUUUAUGUGCAGAGU